GUUGUUUAUGUAAGAAUUUCAAGGCCACAACUCCAUAUUUGAAGUAAAGUGCUCAUAAAAUUAAUUGCAAGACUUCUGAAGAGAGAUUUGCUAGGAAAAAUAAAAAGAUAUAUAAAUUUCAGUGAUGCUGAAGGUUUUGAGAAGCCAUCUGCAGCUCACAACUAGAUGAGUGACACAAUCAGAUGUGCGUAUGCAAAAAAAAGCCUGGAGACAUUGAACUAAGAUCAAAUUUAAUGUAUUAAAUAUGGUAGAAAGAAGAGAGAAUGAAAAAUAAUGUUAACAAUCUAGGUGAGGAAUUGCUGAGGAGACAAAUUAAGUAAAUCCUGUGGAAGGAAAGAAGAAAGGAGGAAAGAGGAUUGGAUGGAAGAAUCUCCACUUCUCAUAGGUGUAGUCCUUCCUUAGCCUGCUUUUUAAUGAGUGCUGCUAAAGCCCUUAGCCUGCCUGUUUACCCUUGGAGUGGAGCAAUGAACUGAAGAUAUUUGAGUGAGUUCAAGAGAGACUCAGAAGAGAAGAAUUGGAGGCAGCAAACAUAGACAGCACUUUUAAUGCUUUUCUCAUAUGCUGUAAGACAUGAAAGCAAUCUAUUGGGAUGAAAGCUGAAAGGAGAAGCGGGACAAGAGAAGCUCCUCAGGUCAAAACACAAGUAGUCAAGAGAUUUGUCCAUCUAAUUCAUCAUACUACUCUGAUCCAAGUGAGACCCACACUGGGUCAGCUCCAUCAAGGAGAAGAACAUUCCACCCACGUUUGGAUUCUGGAAUAUCAUCCUUGCUUCCAUCAGAUUCUUGUAAGUACCUCACUUGGCACAAGGUAGACAUGACGUUCAAGGAAGUCAACUGCGUUGCCCAAGAGUAAGAGAAGGAAUCUCUGAAGAAGAGCAACUUUUCAGACAGGUAGAGUGUGCCUUGCUCCCAAGGAAAAGAGUUCUUGAAAAAAACAAAUGGGAAACAUGGCUACAAGAAAACUGGGAAGACUGCAAGAAAAUCUCAGAAUCUGCUUGAGAAUCCGGUCCUUCUUCCUCCAUACACCCAUGGAACACUCCCAAACUCUGUAUGCUGCUCACUAAUUCUGAUUAAGGUCUUCACCCUCCCUACCUUGGAAAUUGCUACAACAUAAUUGUGUUUGUAUGUAUAAUUAAUAUAUACAAUACAUUUUAAAUGAAUAACUAAA
ensembl:lncRNA LRRC77P leucine rich repeat containing 77, pseudogene